CGCACAUUGCGCCCCUUGGUAUUCCAUGGGGCAUGCCUGUUCGAGCGUCAUUUGAACCCUCAAGCUUUGCUUGGUGUUGGGUGUUUGUCCCGCUUUUGCGCGUGGACUCGCCUUAAAGUCAUUGGCAGCCAUGUAAUUCGGCUUUGAGCGCAGCACAUUGCGACCUCUAUGCUGGUACAUUGGCAUCCAGAAGCCUUUUUUUACACUUGACCUCGGAUCAGGUAGGGAUACCCGCUGAACUUAA
rnacentral:misc_RNA from 1 species